rnacentral:lncRNA from 1 species
GUAGGCAGCUACCAUGCGAUUAAGUCCCGCAUUUCUCAGUCUGCUUCUUGCAGUUGCUGUGAUAUCAAUUUCUAAAUAACUCUAGUCUGUUCAUCUGACAGCAUGUGCGAUUAC